rnacentral:rRNA from 1 species
AGAGUUUGAUCAUGGCUCAGAGCGAACGCUGGCGGCAGGCUUAACACAUGCAAGUCGAGCGGAUGUAGCAAUACAUCAGCGGCAGACGGGUGAGUAACACGUGGGAACGUACCUUUUGGUUCGGAACAACACAGGGAAACUUGUGCUAAUACCGGAUAAGCCCUUACGGGGAAAGAUUUAUCGCCGAAAGAUCGGCCCGCGUCUGAUUAGCUAGUUGGUGAGGUAACGGCUCACCAAGGCGACGAUCAGUAGCUGGUCUGAGAGGAUGAUCAGCCACAUUGGGACUGAGACACGGCCCAAACUCCUACGGGAGGCAGCAGUGGGGAAUAUUGGACAAUGGGCGCAAGCCUGAUCCAGCCAUGCCGCGUGAGUGAUGAAGGCCCUAGGGUUGUAAAGCUCUUUUGUGCGGGAAGAUAAUGACGGUACCGCAAGAAUAAGCCCCGGCUAACUUCGUGCCAGCAGCCGCGGUAAUACGAAGGGGGCUAGCGUUGCUCGGAAUCACUGGGCGUAAAGGGUGCGUAGGCGGGUCUUUAAGUCAGGGGUGAAAUCCUGGAGCUCAACUCCAGAACUGCCUUUGAUACUGAAGAUCUUGAGUUCGGGAGAGGUGAGUGGAACUGCGAGUGUAGAGGUGAAAUUCGUAGAUAUUCGCAAGAACACCAGUGGCGAAGGCGGCUCACUGGCCCGAUACUGACGCUGAGGCACGAAAGCGUGGGGAGCAAACAGGAUUAGAUACCCCCGUAGUCC